AGAAACCAAGCAAAGAUUAUUUCAAACUAAAAUGAUGUGUGUGUGUGUGUGUGUGUGCGCGCGCGCGAGUGCGUGUGUAUGCGUGUGAAUCCUCUUUUGUGUGAGUGUGCAAAGGAAACAUGGCUGCGUUAAAAAGUCCCAAGAUAAUAAGGAAGGCAAGCAUAUGAGAACUAGAAAACCAGGGGUUGCUGCAGUGUGGGUCUUUACUUUGCUUCUCCAGCCAGUUUAGUUAUCUCUCUGUACAGCUCUGCUUUCUCAGCAUCUCCUUGUGGUGGGAGCAUCUCAGGAGGCUAGCCCAUCCUCUCCAGGAGUUAAGAUCACUGCAUUUCCAGCAGCCACACAGUGCCUUACUUUCUGCCGGUUGUGAUUGCAAAUUACAGUAAGAAAGUGGCUAGGGAGCAAGGGACAGAGACAAAGGAAAGAGUGGUUCCAACUAGAGGUUGGCUUCAACAAGCGAAUUUGAGUCAUGUCUCUAGAACUUAAUGAAAUACAGAUUUCUAAGUCACCUUCCGCCUAUCUUAGGGGGUGGCUCUGGUUAGAAGUCUUUUUCAGAGAAAGCCCCACAGUAAUAUGUUUCCUUCCAGUGAAUAGCCUUUUUAGAUGACCGUAUUAAUUGUAAUAGCCAAGGAUAUAAGGAUAAAUUCAUCCAAACAUGAAGGGAUACACCUACUACAGAUUUAUUUACAAAUAUCAACCAGGAGCCAGCUGCCGACAAACUGAAAAUUACAGACCAUGCUUAUUAACUGACCAUUUGACUCUCUUGGUGCUUUUUGUGCCAUGUGAUUGGGUAAGAUAAAAAAUAAGCUUCUUAGGGUUUUCCAAAGAUACUAUGCUUUCUGUGUGUGAUCGAUGAAUUACCAAGUAUAUUGGAAUACCAAGUAGAGAUCAGCUUGUCCACAUUUACACGGGUUAUGUAACAUGCACUCUUUAAAGAGCUGUGGCACAGGUAGAUUGUCCCCAGUGUACGUAGAGUUCUGCUCCCUGUUUUUAUUACUCAGAGUUGUCUCAACACAUCCUUCAUCUUUGUCUCUAAAGUCCUUUUUACCAGAAGUCUUCCUGGAUCCUUGAAGUGUAAUGUUUUAGUCUGUUGCUAUGACAAAAUUCUUGAGAUUGGGUCCUUAUUUUUUUUCUUGGAUAUUUUCUUUAUUUACAUUUCAGAUAUUAUCCCUUUCUCCCGCCUCCCCGAAACCCCCUUUCCCCUACCCUCUCCCCAUGCUUCUAUGAGGGUGUUUUCCUACUCACCCACACACUCCCACCUCCCCAUUCUCGAAUUCCCCUACAUUGGGGCAUCCAUCAAGCCUUCACAGGACCAAUGGCCUCUUCUCCCAUUGAUGUCCAACCAGACCAUCCUCUGCUACAUAUGCGGCUGGAGCCAUGGGUCCCUCCAUGUGUACUCUUUGGUUGGCAGUUUAGCCCCUGGGAGCUCUGGUUGGUUGAUAUUGUUGUUCCUCCUAUGGGGCUGCAAACCCCUUCAGCUCCAUAAGUCCUUUCUCUAACUCCUAAAUUGGGGAUCCCAUGCUCAGUCCAAUGGUUGGCUGCGAGCAUCCACCUCUAUAUUUGUCAGGCUCUGGCAGAGGAGACAGCUAUAUCAGGCUCCUGUCAGUAUAUUAGCAUCCACAAUAUUGUCUGGGUUUGGUGACCUGUAUAUAGGAUGGAUCCCCAGAUGGGGCAGUCUCUGGAUGACCUUUCCUUCAGUCUCUGCUCUAUGCUUUACAGACCACAUGAAGCACAAGAAGAAGGAAGACCAAAGUGUGGGUGCUUUGGUCCUUCUUAGAAAGGGGAACAAAAACUCACUGGAGCAAAUAUGGAGACAAAGUGUAGAGCACAGACUGAGAUUGGGUCCUUUCUAAAGAAUAAGAGUUUGAAUGGGUUUAUGGAUCUGGAGACUGAGAAGUCCAACAGGAAGAUACCAUUGCCUCUUCCGAGUCUGGUGAGGGUUUUCUUGUUACAUAAUGAUAUGGAGGAGAACAUCACAAAUGGAGGAUGGGAGCUUCACCCUUGUUGGCGUUCAGAAUUCUAAGUCCACCCAGAGACCCCCAAUUUCAAGUAGCGUCAAUAUGUGAGUUUGGAGAUCUGGCUCUGCCUUGAACAUGUUUAAAUCACAGCGUGGAGCUGGGAUAGUCUUCCCAGACUUGCAUUUUAGUUAGAAUAAACAUAAAACUUAACAAUGAGAGCUAGUUUCAUCCAGACAGUAAGGAAAGCCUGAACCACAUUCAAAUCCUGCCAUUGAUGAGGAAAUAUCUGUAAUACCUGUUUACAAAAGAAGAGGGCACGCAACUCUUCAUUGUCUGCUAAAAACAUAUUCACUUGAAAAUAAUCAGGGGAAACUUAUUUAAACAUAAAGAAGCACAUUGAGUGGAUUAAAAAAUCCAUUUUAUAUAUAAUAUUUUAUUAAUUCUUUGAGAAUAUCAGACAAUGUGUUUUGGCCAUUUUUGUUCCUCCCCCUCCCCCAUCUAACCCCCUUCUUCCUACCCCUCCUAUUCUUGUGUCUUU
rnacentral:lncRNA from 1 species